GAACUUGCGUUACUGCAUACUCGAGAAGAACCGACUGCUCUACUUCAAUAAACCCACUGA
rnacentral:tRNA from 1 species